GACGAACGCUGGCGGCGUGGAUUAGGCAUGCAAGUCGAACGGUAUCAUCCUUUCGGGGGUGAGAGAGUGGCGAACUGGUGAGUAACACGUAGGUUAUCUACCCUCAAGACGGGGACAACCCAGGGAAACUUGGGCUAAUACCGGAUGUGAGCAACUUUUUAGUUGUUUGAAAGGUGGCGUAAGCUGUCGCUUGGGGAUGAGCCUGCGUCCUAUUAGUUAGUUGGUGAGGUAACGGCUCACCUAGGCAAUGAUAGGUAGGCGGCCUUAACGGGUGGUCGCCCACACUGGGAUUGAGAUACGGCCCAGACUCCUACGGGAGGCAGCAGUCGAGAAUAGUCUACAAUGGUCGGAAGACUGAUAGUGCGACGCCGCGUGAACGAUGAAUCCCUUCGGGGUGUAAAGUUCUUUUAUAUGUGAGCAGUGCUUCUUAUAUUAACAGUAUGGGGAGAGAGAUAUUAGCAUAUGAAUAAGCAACGGCUAACUCCGUGCCAGCAGCCGCGGUAAACUCGU
rnacentral:rRNA from 1 species